UACGAGGGGGGCGAGCGUUGUUCGGAAUUAUUGGGCGUAAAGCGCGCGUAGGCGGCUUUGCAAGUCGGGUGUGAAAUUCCCAGGCUUAACCUGGGAACUGCAUUCGAGACUGCAUUGCUAGAGUAUGGGAGAGGGAAGUGGAAUUUCCGGUGUAGCGGUGAAAUGCGUAGAUAUCGGAAGGAACAUCAGUGGCGAAAGCGACUUCCUGGACCAAUACUGACGCUCAUGUGCGAAAGCGUGGGGAGCAAACAGG
rnacentral:rRNA from 1 species